rnacentral:lncRNA from 1 species
UUUGUUUCUUUUUCUUUAGCAGUGAUAAUGGUUGAGCCUGCAACAGCGACCCAAGCAGCAGCUCCGGUGAUGCCUCAGCUCAAAGAUGAGCUUGACAUUGUGAUACCAACUAUAAGAAACUUGGACUUCCUUGAGAUGUGGAGGCCAUUUUUUCAGCCCUACCAUCUCAUCAUUGUUCAAGAUGGCGAUCCUUCAAAAACCAUCAAGGUCCCUCCUGGUUUUGACUAUGAGCUUUAUAACAGGAAUGAUAUCAACAAGAUUCUGGGUCCCAAGGCUUCUUGUAUUUCCUUCAAGGACUCUGCUUGCCGUUGCUUUGGUUACAUGGUGUCUAAAAAGAAAUACAUUUUUACCAUUGAUGAUGACUGCUUUGUAAGUUCUUUUGAUUUUCUUUUUUUCUUAUGGAUCUUUACAUUGCUCUGUUUGGAAAUUUAGAUACUUUUGAUUUUUCUUUGGGUGUCUCUCUUUAAGAAUAUAGGUAAAUUACCAUUCCUACUAUACCAAACUAUGGAUCUUUUUAUGAUUAGGUUGCUAAGGACCCAUCAGGCAAAGCAGUCAAUGCACUUGAACAACACAUCAAGAACCUGCUAUGUCCAUCAACUCCCUUCUUCUUCAACACCUUGUAUGACCCCUUCAGAGAGGGUGCUGAUUUCGUCCGUGGAUAUCCAUUCAGUCUCCGUGAGGGUGUCCCAACUGCUGUUUCUCAUGGCCUGUGGCUAAACAUCCCAGAUUAUGAUGCACCAACCCAACUUGUGAAGCCUCUUGAGAGGAACACUAGGUUUGUUGAUGCGGUUCUCACCAUCCCAAAGGGCACCUUGUUCCCCAUGUGUGGUAUGAAUCUGGCUUUCGACCGUGACUUGAUCGGCCCUGCCAUGUACUUUGGACUCAUGGGAGAUGGCCAGCCAAUUGGUCGCUACGAUGAUAUGUGGGCUGGCUGGUGCAUCAAGGUAUGUUUCCCAUUGGAGUUUAGUUAUUCGUAUUGCUUUAUGUUUGUUGUGCUUGAUGAAUGUUUAUGGUGUAGGUGAUAUGUGACCAUUUGGGAUUGGGGGUGAAAACGGGUCUACCAUACAUCUAUCACAGCAAAGCCAGCAACCCCUUUGUGAAUCUGAGGAAGGAAUACAAGGGUAUAUUCUGGCAAGAAGAGAUCAUCCCAUUCUUCCAACAAGCUGUGCUUCCAAAAGACUGCACCACUGUUCAAAAGUGCUAUGUUGAACUGGCUAAGCAGGUGAAAGAAAAGCUUAGCAAAGUUGAUCCCUACUUUGACAAACUGGCUGAUGCAAUGGUUACUUGGAUUAAAGCCUGGGAUGAGCUCAACCCUCCUACUGCAGGAUCUGUUCCAAAUGGGAAAGCGGCUUAGACAAUUUUCUAUCACAUCACAUUUAUUAUAUAUAUUAUUCUAUUCAACACAAAGCUGCACCAUUAUUUCCCUACAGUUUAAUUGAACUUUAAUAAUUUUUGUUUGUUUUUUUAUUAUUUAUUUAUCUUCUUCCUCACUAGAUUUUGGCGGGAUAUAUUAUGUAAUUUUAUCAACUUUAUGUUAUAAAGUUGCAGACAUGAAUAACAUGUGUUAGUUGAAUUAGCAGUUCUUCCAUUGAAUUAGCAGUUCUUCCAUUUAACUUUUACAAUAAUAGAUUCUAAAUUUAUACUUAAAAUGAAAAUUUUUCAUAAAAAUAUAUAGUUUAAUUUCGACCGUGUACAAAUACUUUGCAAUUUAUUUUUGAAACUUGUGUGGUCACUUAUUGCAUGUUUUACCAGCUUAGAAUCAGAUUUAUUUUUAGCUUGAUUUUCAAGGGAUAACCUGUUUCUAUAAAAAAAUAUAAUAAUAAAAAUACAAGUAAAGAGCCCAUAUAUAGAUAGAUGGAUGGCUUCUCUGCAUGUCAAAAGAAUAAAAGCUUUGGAUAGAAAACCUUAUUGUAAAGCCCAAAUGUUAAUUUUAUGGAUUAAAGAACACAAUGAAUAGAACCAAGUGGAACCGAAUAUUAUUAUGCAUUGCAGAGAAUACAUGUUUUCCUUGAACAGCCUUUAGUUAUCCUGGUCAUUAAAUCCUACCCCUAUAGCUUGAUCCCAUUGUGAACAAAAACAUCAAUAUUCUAAUAUCUGAUUUUCAGAAACCACAGAACUGAAAUAAAUUGCUUCAAAACUUAAAUUAGUUUUCGAACAGAAUACAUUUUGCAAAACUGAUCAUAGUCGCACGACCAUGAAUUUCAGCCUCUAUCAAACUAAGAUAAAUUUUAGGCGAUGACGAGGCACUAACAAUCAGAAUGAUACCAACUUGGCUUGACUACCCUCCUAAUCUAUGAUUCUGCAAUCGCAUCAUUGGACUUUUCAAUCUUUUGACGCUUGGCAUCGCGCUCACUAUCUAGAUCGUUGAGACAUCCAUUUACUGCCUCUUCACCCAAAAGAGAUAUGUGCUUGCUGGUGAUUUGGCGACCUGCCCUAAGCUUUGGCCCCCAGUGCCUUUCAGGAUUCGGGAGGAAGCGAGCAACCUUCUUAGCUUGUGCCUUGCUAAGGGAUGCAACAGCUCGAGCAAAAUUUGCCUGCCAAAGAGAAGUUGAGAGGUGUUAAAAACAACAUUUCCCACCUUCAAUCUCAAGUUGUAGAUGUUUAAGAUAGGGAAUGCGUGUGUUCACAUGCAGGAACAUGAAACAAGGACUGCGGAUACAUAGGGAAAGAAGCAUGCAACUAAAGAAAGUGGCAUCAAAAACAUACUUGAAGAACUGGUUCUUUGGCAAGUAUCACACUUCCAGGCUGAUCACCCGGUUGAGCUUUCACUGGAUGAUUUUUAACCUAUAGAGAAAACAAAAACUUAAGAAACCAUUUAAUCACGUCUAUUAACUGCACUAGUGCACGGAACAUUAAGGAGUUCAAAAGUCCCAACAAUUUAAUCAAAGUUUAGUCACUUGUACUUUCUUCAGCUGCACACCUACACAAAUGGUGGAAAUAAAGAAAAAAACAGAAAGUAGCCAUACCCAGCAGCGCAUUAUGUCCCAAAUGACAUCCAUGGGAGCAUCUGAUUUUAGUCCCAAUGGAUUUACAUGAGUUCCAGAAAUUUGAUAUCCUGCAUUGAUGACAGCGGAGCGGAAAAUAACUGCAGACGGGGAAGUGCAUUUUAGUGUAGCACAGAGGUUGUGCAGACUCAAAAAGAGAGGAACAUCAGGCAACUCCUGCAAAGAAAUUGCAAGUCAGGUAACAAACUUAAAAGUAUCUCUAAAAAGAAAAAGAUUUCUUGCUCAAAUAGGUUUAGUCAUAUAUAUUGCAUGAAUUUUCGACAUCUGAUUGUUACAAUUUACAUAACCAUCCUAACAUCUAAUGACAUGUUUCUCUAAAAGGUUGUAGCUAAACUUUCAUGAUAGAAAUAUUCAAGUCAAUAGUCAAUAUAGAGCCUUACUUUUUAUAGUUUAGCAUAGAAAAUGAGAUGGCUCAGAGUUACACAGCUAAAACCUGAGAGGAACUAGUGUUCUAAGGUUGAGAAAGAGUCGCCCAAAUGAAGUUACUAAGGAAAAAAAUGAAUACCUCCGAAAUUGUAGUCAAUACAGCAGAGAUGCGUUCAUAGGCCGGAUAACAAUUCUUCAUUGAUUUUACAUCUGCUAGUAUGCUAGUUACCCAAUCCUGAUCAUGGAUGGGAGCAGACCAUAUAGGUCCACCCAUGUUAAAUUUCUUCCCACAGUCACUACACUCUUGAGGGACAACAGGUGCAAAGCCUGGGAGAUACCUCACACUGGUAUUCUGGAAAUUAGAAGGUCAAUGCAAGAUAAAAUUAUUGUGCAAUUCAAAAUAAAGCCAAGUAAAAAAUAAUAGCCAUUGAUGUACAAAGCACAAAUAUGUUGCUAUGUUCCCAUCUUUGAAACAUCAUUACAUACAGUAAAUAACUUUGAUACAUCUCUUUUAAUUAUGUCUGAACAUUGAAAUUAUACUCAAAAAAUAAAAUUAAAAGCAAGCUUCGAUUAAUUAAGAUAGAAAGGAAACCAAAUAUCUUCAUCUAAAAUAAGCUAACUAGAGGCAUGAACAUGUCUCAAAUAGCAACACUAAGCAAUUAAAUGCUCAUACAUCAGGAUGUUAUUUUAAUGAUUUCACAUGUGCACAUACACUAUGACUCCACUAUGUAGAAGCCCAAAUGAUGUAAGCCAUGUAUAUGUUAAAAACAAGAAGGAGCACCAAAUGCAUGGUAAAUCAGGAAGCACACCUUAGAAACAGUUCUCCCAAUAGGCUGUAGAUGAAAAGAAUCACAACCAAUGCAUUGAUAGACAUAUGAGAGCUUAAGGGGAGUAUUCUUCAUUGCACUUGCAGAACUGCAAUGAAUGAAUUAGCCUUCUGUCAACAUUAAGUGAGGGCAACAUUACUUAAUAAACUAAAUUAAAAGAAUAAGCCACCUACGUGUAUACACGAACAAAAACACGGACAUAAAAGUCCAUCUGAACAGAGAGAACAGGAACAAUAUAACGCUUGUACCGGUUCGCAUGACUCUGCAUUCAAGAAAGAAGAAAUACAAAUUAUGGAAAAGAAGAAGAUUGUUGUUGGCAUUUACUUCAAAAAGAAAGUUUUUGGCUUUUUGUUUAGGAGAACAGAUUUCUAUGACAAGGUGGUAUAGUUACCGGUAUCUUUUCUAAUGUCCUUCAUCAACUAAAAGUAGUUCAAGUGAAAGAAAAAAGAAGUCCUAGAAGCCACAUUCCUUUUGCAACAGAUCAUUAUUGUUUUCUAUAUCAUGUGUUUCAAAUGCUAAAAGAAAGGACAUCAAACUACCUCAAUGCAGGCCAGGAGGAUCCUCAAAGCCAUUUCGUGGCAAUAUUUCCCUCUCAAUGGGUAUGAUCCAUAUCUGUUUCCACAUGCAGUUACAGGAUGAGCUUAAAUAUUCAAGAACAUAGUUCAAAUGAAGGCAAAGCUACUACAAUCUUACUUGGAAUAGCAAACCUCCCCAUUACCCCCACAAAGGACUGCCAUAUCAGUUGCAGUGCACAUCAGCAUGCCCCCAUCCACAACAGAUUGAACUGCUGAGUCCAGGAAUACAGAAGGUGAACCAUAAGGAUCAAGAUCAACCUGAAAAAACAGAUUUAGCAAUAAAGAGCAUAAGCACAGCUCCCCUUGAAUAGUGCGGCCAAGAAACAAUACAUAUUUCCCAUUAAUUAUGAAAUGUGGAUAACAAAUAACAGAAACAACAGACAAAUUCCCAAUUAAUUAACUCACUUCUCUUUUACCAAUUAUAAAAUGGUAUAGACAAAAUGAAUGCAUAACAAGAACUAUUUCUACAGAAAACAGAAAUUUUCUACAAAAUUUUAUUUAAGCAUACCAGACCAAAUACUUAUGCAGCAGUUGAGCAUACAUGCAGAUUAAGAUGUGCAUAUAAAGUCGUUUUAUUAUAAAAUAACAGAUCCCGUACCACAUCAAAUUCUUUUGGGUGAGUAAGCAUGUAAACACGAGCAUCAGCAAGAUGUGAUUCCACUUUUGAACAUGCCACAGAACCAUUAAAUUUUAUGUUCCGCUGGCAAGCUUCAACUGCCCCUGCAAGUAGACACAUGGUAUUGGGAAAUCUAAGAAGCAAGUAAACCAUAUAGGAAAAAUCUGUUUGUAAAUAGUAAUAUAAAGCAUGAAAAUGCAUAGGAAUCAGAAAGGCAGAAAAUGAAGGUCCUUCUAGGUCCAAAAUAAUCCUUCAAAUAGCAUAUCAUAACAUCCAAAAUACCUUUAUCGUUAUCUAAGGCAACAACUUGGCCAAUCCCUUCUACCUCCCGAGCAUAUCUCAGAGCCCUUAACCCAGAUGCUGACAAGGCCUAUAUAAACACCAGAAAAGGCAUGCAGAAAAUGAAACGACUAGCAUUGGGGGUAAAAGCAUAUAUAUUUACAUUGGAAAAACAAAAGAUUGUGGAAUAACCUCUAGAACUCUUGGUGGUUUGAGCUUCCCCCGAACUUUUCCUUCUAUCUUAACUGGUUCUCCAGAUGCAGUACAUGGAUCUUCAUUAGGCUUCUCUUCAAGCCCUUGUUCAUUGGAUUUUUGGAUAUUAAUAUCGCAGUCAUUAGGUUUAUCUUCUACAUCAGAUGAAGAACCGUUCUUUUUGUUUCUUUUAGACAACAAUGCCUCAUGUUCCUGCCUCCGUUUUGAUAUAAAUGUCCUCAGGACAGCAAUGGACAUGUCUCUGUUGUUAACCUAAUUAUCAAUAGUGAAUAAUUAGGAUCCCUACUAGAGAAUAAGAACCAAGCAGUAAACAACUAACACUAAAAUUAUACAGACGAGGAAACAAUAUCCUACUCAAAGCAUCUAAAAACAGAGUACACACUAUACAGGUAUUCAGUGAAAGCAUUAAUGAGAGAAAAUUGUACAGUUCCUUUCUUUUCUCGCCCUUUCCUAUUAGCCAAUCACGGCGCCAUUAGUUCACACUAUUGAAAAGAGCUUACAAAUUUCAGAAAUAGAUUAACUUAAACCACCCUGCCAGUAGUCUUUCCAACAAGAAAUCAUCAAUAAUACAGAAGUUUUUAGUCAAACCAAAAGCUUCCGAUUAACUAAAAGUAAAACAUGAAAAAAUCUAACCACAAAAACAAUGAAUUCAAUCAAUUUUUCACCGUCAAUCAAUUCAUUCAAUUAAGAAAAAAGUCAUAUUUCUCAUGAGAACCCAUAAUUAGUUCCCCUUAAAACAACAUAUUCGUCGCAAUAACGAGAAACUUUCAAUAAAAUAAAGGCUAAACCGUCGACUAAAACCCAUUAACAUUCUAAUAAGGGAUUCAAUAAAAUAAAAUGAAGUGAAACCUGAGUUUUGUUGAAAAAGACUUCAUUUUUAGCAUGCAUAAGAAUCUCAGCUUCUCCUUCCUUGAUGAUAGUGUAAUCAUUGAGAUCCAUCGACAUUGUUUCUCCUUUUACAUGCAAUAACAAAGUUAUGGCUUCUUUUCCUUUUCCUUUUGUAGUUAAUUAUUUUCUUUGAAUGGUUUUGAAGAACAAAUUUGAGUAGCAAAUCAAAUUCUUAUUUUAUUUUAUUUUUUGGCUUUAAAAUUGAUUUCGGUGUUUGAAAGUUUGUGAAAGCUGCAAAUUCAUAAAAAGGAGGAGGCUUGUUUUUGUUUAUACGCGUGCUUUGAAGUUUGAACUCUGAAUAUAGGAUACCAAGUCCCACCGGAAACCCUAUUUUAUUUUUCUUUUAUUUUUAUUUUAUGUUUAAUUUAAUUUAAUUUAAUUUGUUGAUCUUUCUUAAACCCUAGAGGCUUACGUUCAUAGUGUAUCCAUUGGUAAUUCUUUGCUAACAUGAGCCCUGUACUGCUAAGAAAUUAUCCCAUAAUAAUUCGAUCAUAUCUAUUACCAAACAAAACUUAAAUUCAUAUCUAGUGCACUAAAAUUAAGAUUUAGCUAAUUUAUGGUUGAAAUAUUUUAUUAUAUUCCUAAACCUUUCAUAAAUUAUAUUUUAUGUGUGGGCGUUUGAUCGAAUUGAGUAAAAAGAUUUCGAGUUAAUCAAGUUAACGAUUUAUAUUUUAUUAAUUUGAGUCGAGUGAAAUUAAAUUCGAAUUGAACCGAAUCAAGUGAAAUUGUUUGAGUUAAAUUAAAAAAUUAAACAUGUCAAAUUAAAAUUUUAUUACAGUAUAACUAAUUUCAUAUUAGAGCAUAUAAAUUUGAAACCAUAUAUAUUUGAAAACUUAUUUAGGUGCCAAAAUUAUUGUUUAGAAAAAUUUUAAAUUUUUAACUUUCUUUAUAUAUUUUUUUAUAAUUUUUUAUAAUUUUUUAAAGAUAUAAAUUUUGAAAUUUUUAUAAAUAUUUUAAAUUUUAAAAAUAAUUUUAAAUUUUAUUUUUUUAUUUGAACUAUUUGAAUUAUUCAAGUUAUUCUAAUUGUAGAAUUCAACUCGAUCCGAACUCGAAACUCGAAUUACUUAUUCAAAUUAACUCAAUUAACUCGAAAUUCAAAUUUUUUUGAACCCUAAAAUAUAUUGCAGUACAAUUUUUAUCCUCGAUUUAUAGUUCAAUUUUUAUAUAUUUUUUUAUCAAGUUGGGAGUUUAUUAUUAAAAAAUAUAAAAAAAAGGUUAAUUUUUAUAUCUUUAAAACUCAAAAAAGAUUUAUUACUAAAUAAUAAUUGAGAUCAAAUUUGAGUAUCAUUUCUGUUUAUUCUUGUUACAUUGUCUAAAUCUAACAAAACCAAAGCAAAGAAGUUUAAACUUGUAUCGUAACUACUAAAUGCUUCAAACUUUUUAGUGUAAUUUUAUUAUUUGUUACAUUAUAAAAAUAUUAAACCGAAAAUCAAUCUCUUUAAAGAGUUCCUUAUAGAGCUUAUGCUGCAGUACUAAUGCAAAAGCAGGAGUUGAGCAGAGCAGUUCAAAAUACAAAAAGAAACAGAAUGAUUGUUAGGGGUGAAUGUUUGUUUGUAAGCCUUCCAAUUAUCAAGCCAUACAAACUUUCAAGUUCUACCAACUCAUACUAAACAAGUCUGUUAUUUGAGUUCAUGUUUUAGUUUUUCUGCUAUACUGUUCUAACCAAUACAAUGGAUGGAUUUUGAACUGAUUCACAAUUAUCCUACAAUUCUAAGGUUGGUAAUGAAGGUCACAACACGAAAUUCGUAGCGAGCAGUCAGCUCUUCAUAUUUUUGAUGUCAUCCUGAUCGUCAAAACCACCACCAUGAAGAUGAUGUUCCCUGCAAAUCCAAAGAACAGACUGACAUGUUACGCAUUGAAACAAAAAGAUAAAGCAGAGAAUGAGUAUGAAAGUGGAAAUUUUACACAAAGGAGAAAUUAGGCAGAAUGAUGCCCAAAAAGGAAAACAGUACCUCAGUCUCUCGCAAAGACGUGCUAAAGCAUCUGCUCCAGUUCGAGAAGCAACAUCCCCUAUCUGUGCAGCAUUUGAUAAGGUCACACACUCUGCAAGCCUAAACUCGCAAAGUUCUUUCAAAGAACAUGCAUCAGUCAAUACAGCGGAAUGACCACCCCCAGCUGCUAGUUUUCGCACUUCACCAACGCACCUACAAUAUAGAAUUGUCAUCUAAACAGAACACCAUAAAGUUGCAAAAGCCUAUGACACAAUAAUUUGGCUAUAUUCCUACCAGUCAACUGGUGAAGGAUACCAUGCAUAAAUAGAUUUCUGAUUUGCUGCCUGACCAUAAUUAUUGUAGCCCCAUCCAUUAAUUCUUCCAUCUCUCAAACAAAUAAGUGUGUGAGAAUGUCCACAAGCAACAAGCUGGACACCGGUGGGAACAACCAAAGCAGGGAUAUUACGAAAGAAUGAAUCAUUAGGGUUGCAUGAAAAGAAUCCUGUUUGAGGGCCAAGGCCUAGCUGUCCUACUUGACCACCACCCCACGCAUAAAGUGCUCCCUUUGAAGUUAAAGCACAUGUAUGUACCCCACCACAAGCAACAUCCUUAAUGCAUAUACCAUCCAGAGCAACUAUUCUCCUUGGCAGGAGCUCUUUAUCACCAGAUUGAAGGGAACUGUGUCCAAGUUGACCCAUGUUUCCUAGACCCCAAGUAUAGCUGAAAUAGAAAAGCAGAUAAUCAUCAAUGCUAAUAUCUUUGUUGAUGAGGAAGAAUUCUCAACAUAGGACUCUUAACAUGAGAUGACCAACAUCUGUUUUGAUGUAGUGCAUGAAUGCAUGGUGAUAUACAUUAUGCAUAGUGCUUGUAGAUAUGUUGCAGACUGGAACAUGCAGGAAUUUUAGAUCCUAAAACACCAUAAAUAAACGCACCAUGCAAGGAACUAAUGUGGAGAUAGCAAGCUCCAAGAAAAGCCUAACAGGAAACUCAAGUAUCAGAUAUCUUCAAAAUCUAUAGACCACCAUAAUUGGAAAAUACAUGAAAACAAGCUCGUACACUGAAAGCGUGAAGUCAUUCUUUUACUUCCUUUAAAGUACUAGCAUUCAUUUCAUGCUAUAGCCUGAGGUAAUAGACUUGCAUAUCACAAUCCAUCUCAUUUCCAUUGCAUCCCAUCUCCUCCUGGCUAAUGUUUGAAUUUCACAUGAUAAACUAUAUCCAAACACUCAUAUAAAGUAACUAAGUUGUCUAAGGAUAUACAAAUUGUCAACCCCACCCCCCUCCUCUUUUUUUUUUUUCUUGGCAAAUGGAAAAAAAAGUAAGAGAUAGUAGAUCUGCUAAGAUGCAAGACUGUUAAACCUGGAAAUAUAUAAACUAAAGAAUUAUGUCUCAAGGUGCUUUGAUGGUAACCCUAUCCCCUUAAAAGUUCUUCUACUGCUUUCUUUUCCUCCUCAAAAGCCAAAAUUAAGGAAUGGAAUAAAAUCAAUCAUUUUUCUUCCAUCUGUACAAGCAGGUACACCCUUUCAACAACAAUUCCCCUCCAACUGGAACUUAAUAACCCAAGUGAUGUGGAUAACCACAAUUCUUAUACUUAAACACAGAUCUUAUCUCCAUCUAGUAAGUCCUUUGGAUAACUUACACCUCGCCUUUUUCAGAAACAGCUGCAGUGUGGUACUCCCCACAUGACACUUGGGUAAUCUUCACAAGCUCAGGAGCCUCAUCCAGGAAUUUUGCAUAUGCAUUUAUCACACGAGCACCCUGUAAUCCUUCGGAAGUAAUGCCUCUGCCUAGCUGACCAUACUCAUUAUAGCCUGGUUUAUCAGAACAGUGAUAAAUAUCAAUUAAUAGGUGGCAUGAAACUAGCAUGAGUUCUUAAGUUUCCUUCCUAAAUCUAGGUUCUGUAAAGAAUGAGGCCUAUAGGCACAUUAAUCGCUUGCAACAAACCUCAAAUAUAUUUGCAAACUCCAGUCAUUAAAUAAAUCAUGAUAUUGUGAAGUAGUAAAGCUUACCCCAAGCCUGUAGUAGGCCUUCCUCUGAUAAAGCAACUACAUGGGCCGCUCCACAGGACACUUGACGGAUAACCUGUAAUAAUCAAACGCAUAUUAAUCUCGUAUUAUAAAGCAAUCAGUAAACAGCUUCAGAGAACCUGAUCCUUGGUUAGAAAUCAUGAUCGAAAUAUAUAUGGAAAAAGACCGGUUAAUCAGGAAAAAAAAAAGUGUUCGCGGAUUCAAUUAGACACAAUAAUUAAGAAUGGUUGAAGAUUACGCUGCUUAAGAUCAGACCACAUAAGCAGAAAGUUGAAUGAGAAAGCUACAAGCUAAAUUAUAUUUGUCUCAAACAGAAACAGAAAAAAAUGUGCAAACUCCAUGUUACAGAAUUCAAUUGAAGUCGAUGGAGGGAGGAGUGAUAAAGUUAGGUCCUUCUUCUCUCAUACUUGUGCAUGUGUGUCAUCAAAGUGGAGAUUCUCUAGUGUUGGUUAGGUAAUAAACCAAUUCAAGGAACAACCUGCCAGCCUGAAAAUCGACUGGAAAAGUCCGCUUAUUUCUCUGCCAGGUCAUGAGCUAGAUAACAUAUCAAUAUAGAUAAAAGAACACAGAUAAUAUUAGAAGCAAAUGAUACUGCAAAAGUAUCCUAAAAGUUAGGUCAUGACUUAUUGAAGCAAAGCUAUCUUCAGUUCACUCAUUUAUGAAGGAGAUAGCAGGAACCUAGCAUUUGGUUCUGAAUAAAAACUGGUCCCAGAGAACCAAAAUGUCUAAAAGUGAUUAGCAUGAAGUUUCCUUUUCCUAGUCCGUGACAGGAAUCGUAAAUUUUAAAUAAAUAAAAGCCUCAAACUUCAUAAACAGGACCUUGAAGAAUUAAAGAAAGGUUCAAAAACAAAGAGCAACAAAACAAUAACAGCAACGUCUCUUGGGGUGAAGACAUCAGGAAUUCAAGACAAUACCAUGUUAGGAGUGAAUGCACCCCAAAAUAAACGAGGUAAAUUUGAUCCCUGUAAUCAUUUAUGGAAAAGUAAGUGGAAAGUGAGAUCAAUAUCAAUUAAAAAUCUAAAAAGCAACAAUGAUUCAUUAACUAUAAAUUUCAUUACCUGAUUUUGUCCCCAAAUCCAGAGUCUCCUUUUUGAGAUAGUCCCAUCAUUUUCACGAGGUUCUGCAAUACCAGCUGUGCAAUGUGCCCCACAAGAUACAAAUUUCACAAACUCCGUCUGCAAUUGCUUUACUUUCUUUGGGUUUUUCCUCCCCUUCUCAGUGCCAUCUCCCAGUUGUCCAAACUCAUUAGCACCUAGCAAAAUGCAUCAAAAUAUAAUUCUUCUUUUCCUGAUAUGAACAUACAAAAACAACAAGAACAGCCACAUCUUUGGCAAAGACUAGUUCCUUUAUGUUUCCAAUUUUCAGUAGCACAACACCUUCAUAUAGUUAAUUAUCAAAACAAUCUAUACCUAUGUUGUUCCAACUGUUCUUUUUUUUUUUUUUUCUUGAAGUACCGUGUCCAAGCAUGUAUGGAAAUGCAUAUCAGACUAUGACCCUCCAAGAACUCUCCAAAUACAUGAAAAGACUUGAAAAAAAAUGAAUAUACCUGUGUCGAGCACAUAUAUGACCAUGCACACUAAAAAUAAAUUCUCAUUAACAAGGAGAUAAUCUACAGUCAAAUUAGCUAUUACUAAUAUAAAUCAAGCAAUAAGAACAACCAAAUCACCUCAAAGGAAACAACAUAAUACAAAUGUUCGCCAGUAGACCAGCAGAAUUCCAGCCGUAGGCAAAAAAAAGUAGAUAGCAAGAUCGAAACAACCAGAGCAAAGGAGCAGACAAAUACAAAAGGCAGGAUAAUGUACAAAACUUGAUGAUAACAAAGAAAAAAGAGGGACUUCAGAAAUGGAAAACAAGCUCCAGAGGAAAAAUGCCCAAAACCAAUAGAAUCAAAUCAACAGGACCAACCAAUACAACAAAAACAGCAUUCUCAAUAUCCUCAAGAAUCCAAGACAUCAACAAUAGAAUUUAAAUGGCAAGAUAAAUAACAACACACAUCGUUUUCAAAAUGAAAAAACAACUAAUCAAAUUCAUUUAAAUAAAACAAACAAACCCCACGUGAAUAAUGACCCAUCUGAGGCCACCGCCGCAGUAUGCUCACGGCCGCAAGCAAUAUCCAGCCAGCGGGAAUUUGCCCCCGCCGGACACCCAAAGAGAUCGGGCGAUAGCUGUUUAGGGAUCCUCAAGUGUUGUUCUUUCCCUCUCCUACCAGUCUGGCCACUAUGAUUAUAUCCCCACACAUAAAUUGCACUCUUUGUUGGAAUAUUCUGAGAACGGGUCAUCGUUUCACCCAUAAUUGUUUCAAUAUCCAUCUAUUUACAAACAAAUAUAGAUGCAAUAAAUGAGAACAAGUUCACAACAUUAAACAUUUGUCUAUUAUACUAAUUUCCAUAAAUUUAACAAAAAAAUGAAAAUUAAAGGGUUUUUUUUUUUCAAUCGAGGUUCAUGACAUUACCUUAGUUUGGUAGGUGGGAAAAUGGAGGAAAGGAAAAGAAAAGUAAGAAACCCGCACGAAAAGCCAAGUGCUUUUAAGUUAAUAAGGUAAAAAGGACAAUGAUGAUGAUAUAAUAUCCGUUUGGUUUACGUGAAAAUGCAGGAAAGGAAAGGAGACUUUAAAAAGAAAAGAUUCUGACAAUUUCUGGAGUCAAUGAUCGCGUUUAUAAUUCGAUAAAACUUUGAUUAAGUUCAAAAGAAACGAGGAAACGAAUUCGAGAGAAUUUGAAGAACGCACCUCAGUUUUGAGAAUGGAAAUUGAAUUGAAUUUUCUUGGAUUAAAUAGAAAAAAUAAAUUAGUAAAUGGAGAUUUUAUUACAUGACAAAAAAAGGCAAAGACCGUAACUUUUCUGGAUUUAAGAGAUCCCGGUAGUGUUCCAGGAAUAUGGGAAUCGGGUCGGAUCUAGUCAGGUUGGGAAAUUAUGAAGGACCCGAAUGUUCUAGGCCCAAGUAUUCCGUUUUACAAAAAGAAUCUUCUAGACACAAGAUAUUGUAUAAUGAAAAUGAAUAGUAAAUAAAUAUUCUUUUAUUAUAUUAUUCGAUUUAAAAAAAUUAUAAAUUUAUUAUUCGAUUUAUUUUUUAUUUUUUUUAAAGUUGAAAACCGUUAAAUUGCGGCUGACGUGAUUCUUAACUUAAUGAUAUGUUUUUUUAACAUUUUUAUUCUACAUAAAUUUCAUGUCAUAUUAUAAUUUAAAAAAAGAUUACUUUUUUUACCCGAACCUACACCUUUUUGGGUACUUCCAUCUCUAAAAUAUGGCUAUUUUACUAAAUUGAUUCAAAAAAAUUUAAUAUUUAUAAAAAUAACUCAGGUUCAAAAAUAAUCACCAAAAUGACUCGAAAUGAACAAAAGAUUAGGGUUUUUGCCUGUUAAUUGGCAAGCACCAACUCGUAUUUUACACACAUGAUUGCUUGAUGAUUGUGUCAGGCUUUAAAAAAUUAUUUUUUUUGGUUUUGGCCUGUCAAUGGCCGACACCAAGGUAUUUUUUUCAAAUCGUAUCAUACUGUAUACAAAAAUACAAGUUUUCAAAAAAAAAAGAAUUUUUUUUUGUGCUGGUCUGUCAAUGGCCGGCACCAAUAAUUUUAAAAAAAUUAAUUUUUUUUGUGCUGGCCUAUCAAUAGCCGGCACCAGUAGUAAUUUAAAAAAUUUAAAUUUUUUUGGUGCUGGCCUAUCAAUGGCCGGCACCAGAAUACGAGUUUUUAAAAAAAAAAUUUGGUGCUGGCCUGUCAAUGGCUGGCACCAGAAUACAAGUUUUCAAAAAAAAUUUUGGUGUUGGCCUAUCAAUGGCUGGCACCAAUAUUAAAAAAAUUUUGAAAUUUUACAAAUUUUCAAAAAAAAAUGGUCAAUGGCCGACACCAAACCUUAUAUAUAGUGGGUGGUUUGGCCGACACCGAACUAGGCUGUGGUUGAAACCGAUUGGUAGAGAGUCUCCAUGCAAAAGUACCUCAGGAAAUAAUAGAAGAAGAAAAGAUCUGGAGUUUUUAGAAAGCUAUAGUUUCCCAGCUGGUUUUCUGUUUCCUUUUUAUAUUUUUAAAAUUUGUUUGGUUCCGGGACAAAUCAAUUUAAAGGAAGAAAUUUAUUAUUUUUAAAAUUUCGAUUUUAAUUAAAAAAUAAAAUAAUUAAAUGAUAAAGCAAUUUAAUUAAAAGAGGCCAUUAAGAGGCCUAAAAUUGGCGAUUAACAAGCAUCCAAAGCCUAGCCUGCUACGCAUUAUGAAGCCUGCCAUGGCCUGUGUCCCAAGGCCUGAUGCAGGUCAUCCGAGUUGAACAGGUACGGCCAUUAGAAGUAGGGGUGAGCAUUUACAAAAAAUUUCUAACAACUGUUGCUGCUCAGUAACCCAUGAUGGUAUAAGCGUCGCGAUAUCUUCCUCAUUAUAUGGCAUCCAUAUAAACUGCAUAAUAUAAAGAACACGUUAUAUUUAAUUUUUUUUCUUGUGCAAUUGUUGUAUUUAAAAAAGAGAAAUUCAGAAUCGUAUUUUACAACAUCCCCGAAAUGAGUCUCUAUCAUCAUACGGUACAUAGGUACCGUGAAUGAUCUGCCGAUUCCCGGUACAAUUGCCCAUCUAAAAAAAAUUAUCAUAUUAUUUUCAAUAUGAAAAAAACGAAUAUACUAGAGUAUAUAAUUAAAAAAUAGAUGGCAAAAUUGAAAUAUAUAUUUACCUAUUAACCAGUGGCCAGACAUACGGUUGGUGGCUCACUGAUGCCAGAAAUGGCAUUCAAUAUAAUGCCCAAGACUGCAGUAGAAGGCAGCAACCGCCCAUUGUUUUUGUAGACGACUUUGUUGCUCGACAAAGCUCGCGGUAUAAGUAUGCCAACACUGCAGAGCCCUAGCUAAAUCUUCCGGCAUGCUCGAGAUCUUCUAAUAAGGGGAGAUACGUUAUUGAGACUUUAUUUUAAUUUACGUCUGGCAAUAGUAUCCCACCUAUAAGUUGAAGAAUAAACGCUCUCGCAGCGUAGAUAAUGUCCAUCUGCGUUGGACUGCUUGGAAGAUGUCGGAAGUUUUGUUUUAACCAAUUAAAUUUAAUAUGUGUUAAUCAUCCUUUGUCGUCGUUCGGGGGCACCUUUCCAAGUAAUCGCUCGCAAGUGCCCCAUGGGUCGGGCACUUUUCCAAGCCUGGUCACUGCAUUGCCGUUUACAGACAGCCCUAGUUGGACUGCUACGUCUUGUAGCGUAAUAGUACCUCUCUACACGGGAGGUGGAACGUAUGUGUCUCCAGGCGCCAUCUUUCAACUAAGGCCGAUAUUAAAUCGGCUCGUAGCUCAAAUAACUGAAUGUAUGCGGCUACCCCAAAACCCGCUACAUUCAAAUACGGUAAAACUCUUCGAUCGGGAAAAUAACUGGGAUCAUGCACCCGGGGUCUCACAAUUCAGUACAGAUUCUGCAUUUAUAGUAAAUAUAUAAUGUUAUAUUUCUCAUUUAAAAAAGAAUUUAAAAGAAUAUUUAAAAUUAAAUCAGACAUUUUAUUUCUCGUUUACUUGAUGCACCCUAGCUGCAAUGUGAUUGCUAUCAUUUAAAAGAACAUUAGGAUUAAGAUCCAUGGAGUGAUCGGCGGUCAUCAGCGGUGAACAGCGAAUGUCGGAGGUGUCUGGAGGUGCUCGGUGGUCGUCGGUGGUCGUUGAUGGUCAUCGGAGUAGCCUAUUUAUAGUGGGGGACCAUUUGGCUUCAAGGGCAAAAUUAAAAAAAAUAUGAAAUGAAAAAAAAAGUAAAAGAAGUAUGAAAUAGUUGGCCAAUUCACAGGCCUGACACAGGCGUCACAGAUGGGUCUUAUCAACCCUUUUAUUUUUCAUUUUAUUUUUAUUUUAUUUUUUUUCAAUUAUUUUUUUUUCAAUUCAUUUCAUAUUAUUAUUUUCUUUUUCAUAUUAUUUUUUUCAAUUCAUUUUAUAUUAUUUUUUUCAAAUUAAUUAAAAGUGGUCUUAAUAUCAGGGCCAUUUAAAUUUUUUUCAUCUAUUUUUAAAAUUUUUUAUAUUUUAUUUUUGUCAAUUUAAAUUUAAAAUUUUUUAAUUUUUUUUCAUAUUUUCAUAUUUUCUCUUUUUUUUGGAUUUUUUAGACCUAAUACCACAUUUAUCAAGCCUGAUAAAAGGCAUUUCGACUUUUAAAAAGUAAGCUGAAGCCGGCCAUUGCAAGGCCAUUGUCAGGCCUAUGCUUAGGUGAUGCAGGCCAAGCCUGCAUAUUAGUCAUGUCAAACUCUUUUUUUUUCAUUUCUUUUCAUUUUCAUUUCAUCUUCAUUUUAUUUCAUUUCAACUUCAUUUCAUUCUAAUUUCAUUUCAUUUAAAAUUUUUUUUCAAUUUAAAUUUAUUUUUUUCUCAAUUCAUUUAUAUUUUUUAAUUUUAAUUUUAAUUUUUCCUUAUUUCAUUUAAAUUUUUUAUUUUUCAUUGCAAUUUUAAAUUUUUUUGUCAUUUCUUUUAAAUUAUCUAUCUUUCCAUUUAUUUUUUUCUCAUCUUAUUUAAAUUAAAAGUUUCUCCCAUUCAUUUAAAUUUGUAUUUCUUUCAAAUUUAAUUUCAUUUUUUUUCUCAUUUCAUUUCAAUUAAAUUUUUUCCUCAUUUCUUUUGAAUUUAUCUUUCUUUCAAUUUUCAUUUAAAUUUUGUACCGCUUCAUUUCAAUUUAUUUUUUUCUCAUUUCAUUUAAAUUAUCAAUUUUUCCAUGUAAUUUUUAAUUUUUUCUCAUACAAUUUAUCUAAUUUUAUUUCUUUUAUAAUGUUUUUACAAUAACAUGUGCUCAAUAAUAUAUCACUCGUCAUCUUGGAGUCCAACACUACGAGACGAUUGACCAGAAACAUAUACACGAUGUGGGCGUGUUGAUCGGUUGUGUCUGGAUGCUCGACACACAGUGCACAGUUUGGGUUCACCCGUCUCCUUGACAUCCAUGUCAUUUCGAAUUCUCGUCGAUUGUGGUCGACCUUUAGAAUGUCUACGGAGACUACGGUCAGGCACCAUCUCGAAAGUAGGCGGUGGAACUUCCCAAUUUGAGACAUCGGGCAUUACAGGAAAUUCGUUCCCCCAUAUACGUAAUUUGCGUUCCAACGUGUAGAUCUCAUCUAUGAAUUGUUCAACAUUUAAGUUUGCUCUCGCACACGCUGCAUGAACAUGCGCACACGGAUAUCGAAGAGUCUGAAAUAUCCCGCACUCGCAUCGUCUGUUUCGCAGAUCAACUGUGUACGACCUAGGUGGAAGACCCGAACGACAGCCGAUGUACUCUUGAACUCGAAAAGUCUCCAAGUCGCGGAAUACAAUUCAGCGUUCGUUGUUUGUGCCCUUCGACUAUUUACCGCCAUGGCCUUUCAGACGGCCUCUACGUACAAGUUCCUGGCCUCAAUCUGCUUAGCUUGUCUCAACCCCAUCUUAGGCAUCAAUGUUGCCAACCUAUAGAAUUUUGCCCAGAACACAGCAGAAAUCGGGAGAUGGCGUGUGCGCCUCAAUACAAAGUUGACCGCUUCUACCAGGUUGAUCGUCAUCUGCCCAUACUGAAACCCCUCAUCGUAACUUUGAGUCCAUUGUGAGUUCUCCAUGCUACCUAACCAUGUCCGGAGAUCUAUUGGUAAAGAUGACAUCUGAGAUUCAAGCCUCGCGAACCUCUGCCUAAACCUUCGCGGUUCUAACUCAUGAGCUGCAUGUUUAAUUUGAAAUCAUCAUUUUAAAAACAACAAAAAAUUUGAAAAGUAAUUUUUUAAAUAAAUACAAAUAAAUUUUUUUUUGCCCAUGUUCACAAGUUCUUUUUUUCAAUCUUUAUUCUUAUAAUCUCUGUGAAAGUUUGCCUCGAUGUGCCGAAUGCAAUAAAUAGACCUUUACGGAACCCCCGAUCGCCUUAUCGCAGCAAGUAAUCCUUUUGAUCUAUCUGAUAUAAUGCAAAUAUUAUCUUCUCUGACAAUGUGCCUCCACAGAUUUGUGAAGAAAAAUUCCCAAGACUCGAAGCACUCACGCUCCACGAUGGCGAAAGCAAUCGGAAGUACAUUUCGGUUAUCGUCUUGUGCAACAGCAAUCAGGAGUAUUUGCGUGUACUUUCUAUACAACCAUGUCCCGUCCACCUGCACCAUCGGCUUGCAGUGAAGGAAGGCCCUAACACACGGCUCGAAUGUCCAAAACAAUCGGUGAAAAACUCGUUUCCCUGAUUGUAUCUCCUCGUCCGUGCCUUGAUACGACAGCGUUUGUAAAUAAGUCACUGUCCCAGGCACAUACUCCUGCAUCCCGGCUAUCCAUAUAACGCCUCUUAACCCCAACUGGUCACCGGAACAGGGUUACUAGGCAUUACCGGAAUUAAACACUAAUAAUGAAUAACACCGAGUCAUAAAUCUAUAUUUCAAUUUAAAAUUUCUCAAAUUCCAUCUUUAAGUCCCUAAAAUGGACCUAGGAGGCCCAAAAUAUACUUAGGAAGUGUUUUGGGAUUAAAGCGGGAACUUUGGAAACUCUUCCUUCAGAAUAGGGGCACACGCCCGUGUGGCCUGGGACAUGCCCGUGUGGCCUGGAACAUGCCCGUGUGGCCUGCCCGUAGGCAGAUCUGACUUAUUCACACGGCCGUGGAACUAACCUAUGGCCAAUUCUGACUUUUCCACACGGCCUGGGCACACGCCCAUGUGACUUGGCCGUGUGAAAAUAUGAUUUUUGACCAUUUUAAAGCUAUUUUCACAUACUAAACACACCUAAUUCAUGCCCAAAACAUUUACUUAUAAAUCUUGAUCAAAUAAAAUUCAUCAAACCUUUCAAACUUAGCAAAUUCUCAUUCAUUCAUUUCAUUACCACUUAAAAAUUAUGCACCACAUUUACAUUCAAAAUAUAAAACAUUUACAAGUGACAAAUACCAAACCUAGUACAUGCCACAUAUCUAAAAGAUAGAGCAUCACCAAAAUUGAGCUGAGGUUGGGAUUGACUCAGAUGCUUGACUGAACUUCAACUUUAACUAACUUGCGCACGGAAAACAACCGUACGCUGAGUAUUGGAAAUACUCAGUGGUAUUAUCAUAAUUCAAAUUAUAACAACAAUAAAAUAUUAUAACAUACAUAGAUAAUUAGCAAAUCAUACAUAUAAAUUCAUACCAAACUAUCAUAUUUCCAUUAUAUCAUAUCCAAUGUUAAAUCCAAUAAAUCAUCAAUGAGAUUUCAAUUAACUCGUGAUCCUUUGAUUCAUCUCUCAACUACAUAUAAUUAUUCAAUUCACAUUUCAAAUAUGAACACUUCAUGAACAUUUGGUUCAUGCCUUCAAUCUCUUUACAAAUUUCAUUUCACAUUCCAUCUUACAAUAUCACUUUCUCAUUUCAUUCAAUAGCUCAAUUAACCAAAUCCAUUUGAUUUUACUAUUUCACUUAUUUUCCCCUAUUAACAUGACUCGGACUUUGGCAGAUACACGAUCCAACCAACACACCAGAAUGGCGACCAACGCCUCAUCGAAUAAUUCGAAGCAAAUAAGUGACGACCAACGUCUCAUCGGCUAAGCAGAAGUAAAGUGGCGACUAACGCCUCAUCGAAUCUAUCCGAAGUAAAUAUGACACACCAAGUGUCUCAUCGACUCGAGGUCGAAGAAUCCCUGAACUCUUCCUAUCCUAUGGCAUGCCAACUAUAUCCACCCUAGCCCGACUAGUUAAUAGGGUAUCAAAAUCACAUAUUCAUAUCACUUUCACUUUCAGUUGAUCGUAAUCAUUCGAAUUCAAAUCCAUCGCAAUAACAAUUCGAUCACAAUUUCAAAUUCACCACAAAUCAUUAUAUAAUUCAAUUUCACACAUGUAUACAUUCAUCAAUCAAAUCCAAUUCCCAUUCAAUUCAAAUAUCACUACUUACCUCACAUUCAAAUUCCAUACACAUUUAUUAAAAUUAAACAUUUAAUAAGAAAUAACUUGAAUUAUGAUAAUACAAACUGAUAUUUUUCUCGAGCUAUUCCUCGAUCACUUUUUCCUUUCCUUUCGUAUUCGACGUCUCAAUUUCCUUGUUUGCUACGAAAAUUAGUAUAAGUACAAUUAAUUAAUAACACACAUAUUUUAUAUAAAAUAAUAACUUUUCAUGCAACUUUUACCUAAAUCCCAAAUUUAUCCUAACUAUUUUCAUCUUCUUCCUUUUUAUAAUUCACAUCAUUUUCUUAUUCAAUUUCCAUCAAAACUUCAAUAUAACCAUCAAAUUUUCAUCAUUUUACCAUAAUUUCAAAUUUCUUCCAAUUUAACCCCUAAAAUUCAAAACUUAUAGGCUAGUUCACAAAUUAGUCCUUUAAUCAAUUUUAAUCAACAAUUCUAUCAAUUUAAUCCCUAAUUUCAUCAUUUAUUCAACAUAAACCUUACUCAAAAGUCUAUCAACUUUCAAUAUUUCCACACAAAUUCAAGAGUACUUUACUCUAAGACUCCAAAAACAUCAAAAUCACAAAGAAAGGGACUUAAUUGACUUACCAAUUUAACUUUCAAGCUUUCAAACCCUAAUUUCUCCUUUUUUUUUCUUUUCUUCUUUCUUUCUUUCUAUUUCGUUUGAUUCUCUAUAACUAUUUCUCUUGUUUUUCUUUAUUUUAUUCAUUCUUUAUUUUAUUACCUUAUUUACUUAAUUAAUAUUUAAUAAAAUAUCUAAUUAAUAUAAAUAAAAAUAUUACAUGUGUGUUCAUACACACAUGUACACAUGUAUUAAUCCCACACCAUACAUUUGUCAUUAUCUCAAUUAAUAGAUAAAAUAUAAUAAUAAUAAUAAUAGUAAUAAUAAGUAAAUAUCUUUUACUUAAUAAAUAAGUAAAUAUAUAUAUAACAUACAUUUGUACUAAUAAUUUAAAUACACAUAUAUUUAUUCUCUAUCUUACACAUGUCACUCAUUUGGUUUAAAUCCUAAUUUAGUCCUUUUUCAUUUUUCUUUAUUUUAUAAUUAAUCUUUUACACUCUAUUCAAUUUAGUCCUUUUUAAUAAUCACUCCUAAUUAAACUAAAUUCACCUAAUCAAAAUCUAAUUCAACCCAUAACUAACUUCGUAAAUAUUUUUUUAUAAAUAUUUACGGACUAGAUUUCCUAAGACGGAGGCCCUAAAUUUAUUUUUCCGGUGCCCAUGAAAUAUGGGUCGUUAUAAUCCACCCUUGAAGCUCGUUGUAUGACGCAUCCCAGUCACCAUACAACUCUCGCAUCGCCAUUUGCUUUGCCCACUAUGCCUUUCGGUACGACACUUUAUACUUGAAUCGAGGUUGCAUGUCCGCAAUAAGGAUCGACAUUUGAAUGGUGGGCGACUCUUUCACCAAAUGAAUGAUGUAGUUGUAUAUAGUUUUUGCAUAUAACUUUCCAUGGUCUUGCGACAUACGAGCGGACGUGCAUGUGUGUGGACCUUCUAGUUUUCUUAUCAUCCACAUCUGCGUCUGCUGCAUUAACGUGGCUUGGACACACCAUUUACAACCACUUGACGCUUUCCAACAUUCUUCUACGUACAAAGACUGCGUCGACUUCGUUACUUUAUAAUCCACACCUAACUUCAAGCUAAGUUGUUUUAUAGCAUGUAAACAGUCUUUUUUGUUAUCGAAUUGUUGUCCUACAAACAACUCUUCAUCGCUGAAUUCUUCGUCAAGUAUGUGAGCCGGCACAAUAUUUGUAUAUUCCGGGAACUCACGUGCUAGCACCGCAUCAGGAUCUACGUCGGUCAUGAAAGACCUCGAAUUAUUUCUUAUAACUAUACCAGGGCCUGUGUUCCCGGUCAAAUGGGGGUUUACAUUUUCACCCUCCACUGGCCCUUUCUCAUCUAUGUCUUCAGGGAUGUCAUCCAAUAGAGGUUACUGAAAUCAUCGUUUGGAUCACAAUGGGACUGAUCAUCAUUAUCGGACCCUUCAUCACCAUUUUCUAUGGUGGCCAACACCUCUGGAUGGAUCUCUAGACGAGGACACGGGUUUGGGAUGUUAUACGAACAUCCGCCGAUGUUUGGAUUUUCGGGAGUUAGCAUUGACCAUCCAAAACCCAACUGAUCUUCCCAGGAGAUGUUAAGAUCAAAAUCAAUUUCAGAGCGCUGGCUUGCUGGAAUUACAACUUGAAUCGGAUCUAGUUCAGCUAUCUCCAUGAACAACUCAAUCGAGUUGGGAUUUUCUAUCUCAGGAGGACAAUAAAUUGCUAUCAUUGUCCCUAGAUCAUCAUCAUCUUCAAGCUCCAUUUCUGAGAAUUUUAGCGGAUCAGUUGAAACCGAAAAUUUGUAAAACAGUCUCAACAUUUGCUUUUCGCAACGGCUUGCUAUCUUUGUACUGAUUUUCUGUUUUAAAUCCGACAACGAAACACGUCUGUUGAAUCUCAUUCCUAUUUUUUUCCGACUUCAAAAUACACAGCCUUCCUAAAUUGUAUUUAUCAUUUCUCCAUCGAAAUGAACAUAAACAAACAAAAUUUGGGAAAUCAUCUUAAAAAAAUUUUGCUUUCUUCUCAACGAAGAAAAAACUAAAAUUUUUUCUGAAAAAACUAAAAUCUUAAAAAGCACACAAAAACUCAAAUGGAAGAUAAAAUACAUAUAUAUAUCUGAUAAAUUUAGUGCCGGCCAUUGAUAGGCCAACAACAAAAAAAUUUAAUUUUUUUUAAUACUGGUGCCUGCCAUUGACAAGCUACCACAAAAAAAAAUUCAAUUUUUUUUAAUACUGGUGCCGACCAUUGAUAGGCCAGCACUAAAAAAAUUUCAAAUUUUUUUUUAAAUACUGGUGCCGCCAUUGACAGGCAAGCACCAAUUUUUUUUUAAAAACUCGUAUUCUGGUGCCUGUCAUUGACAGGCCAGCACUAAAAAAUUUUUAAUUUUUUUUAAAUUACUGGUGCCUACCAUUGACAGGUCAGUACCAAAAAAAAUCUUUUUUUUGAAAACUUGUAUUUUUGUAUACCAGUAUGAUACGGUUUGAAAAAAAAUACCUUGGUGCUGGCCAUUGACAGGCCAAAACCAAAAAAAUUAAUUUUUUAAAGCCUGACACAAUCAUCAGGAAAUCAUGUGUGCAAAAUACGAGUUGGUGCCAGCCAUUGACAGGCCCAAACCCUAAUCUACUGUUCAUUUCAAGUAAUUUUGGUGAUUGUUUUUGAACCUGAGUCAUUUUUAUAAAUAUCAAUUUUUUUUGGGUCAGUUUGAUAAAAUAGCACCAAAAUCCACUCUAACCAUAAUUUUGCUCGUUUUUCCAACGAACGACUUAUUUAACCCCGUUAACAUCUCUGUCAUCAUCUCCUACAUCCUCAAUUCUUACGAGUUCCCGACCACAUCGUCGUCGCCUGCAACUUCUUCGACUACUACUCCUCCAUAGAUCCAACCUCUAACUGCAACUGCGUUUGUUUCUUCUAGCCCACCAGUUUCCUUCUGAGGGAACCGAAACAAAACCCUUUAUUAUUUCAACUAGAAAGCCAUCUUCAAGAUCAAAUUCAAAGGAUUACUCUUUCUCAAACCAGAUUCAAAUCCCUUAUUUCUGAUCCCAAAAUAUCAUAUAAAGUAAACUCCUCUCCAAGUUAUUUAUGCCUUCCAUUCGCAUCUAAAGAUUCCCCACAUUUUCCUACAACACCCAAAUUACAUGUAAUCAAAAAAUUUUCAAUAAAAACAACUGACACGGUAAAAACCCAUCAUUCCAUUGCGAUAAAAAAAAUAUAAACAAAUAAAAAAUCAUUAAAAAAACAAUGGCUUACAAAUCCAUCCAAGUUAAGGGAGUGAAGGAACAAGUGUCUUGUAAAUUAAAAUAUAAAAUAAAUAAAUAUGAUAUUUGUCAUUCUCUUAAUUUAUUUGUGAAAUCUGAAAAAACUUAAUGAAAGAAGAAAAAAGAGCUAAUUUAUUGAUUACUAGAAACAAAUAUUAAAAUAAAAUUUUAGUUAAAUGAUAAAUUAAAAGUUUUACUGAUAUAAUUGGUUUGGAUUCAAAUAUCAUCAUAGGUAUAUUUUUAUUAGUUUUUUUAAAUAAAAAGAUUAAAAUAUUCUCUAAUAAUAUAACUUAUUUUAAUUACGAAAUGAUAUUUUCAUAAUUUUUCUAACUGAGUUGCUAACUUAAUUGAGGAUGACACCAUCUUAAUCAGGAGCUUAAAUAAUAUUAUAGAUAAAAUAAAUAACUCAUAGUGUUGUAAUAUCCACUAUUAAUAUGACAAAGAUUUAAGCCUCAUUUACAUUUGAGGUUGAAAAGCAUUUUUUAACCUAAACGUUGAUUUCAAACAAAAAUUGUUUUGGAAAACAAGCAACUUCUUAAAGGGGAUUUUAAUUCAAGCCAAAAAUUUUAACUUUUUUCUUUCCAAAAUUUUUUAACUUUUUUCUUUUUUGGAAUAGUACUUUUCAAUUAAGUUAUUAAACCUUUUAUAAUCUAAAAUUAACAUUUUAUCUUCUCAAAAGUACUUUUAAACUAUUAAAAUAAUCAUUUUUAUUUACCUCAAGUUACAUUUUAGUCACUUAUGUUUGAAAUGUUACAUUUUAGUCACUUACAUUAUCGCGUUGUAAUAUUUUAGUCACUGAGCCAUGGUAAGCUGACGUGACACUUUAAAUCAUUAUUUCGAACAAAAAUUUUAGGUUAAUUUAUACAAUCGAUCUCCAUAUUUUUUCGUUUUGGGCAAUUUAAUUUUUUUCUUUUAUUUUCUUUAUUUCCCAUUCUCUUCUGCUUCUUCCUCUGUUUUCCUCCAUUUUCCAUUUCUUUUAACGGAGUUUUUCUAUUUUUUCUAUUUGUUAAAACUAUGAAAAAUAUAGAAAAGCUACGUUAAAAGAAAUGAAGAAGAGAGGAAAACAGAGGGAGAAGCAGAAGAGAAUGGAAAUAAAAAAAAGAAAAAGAAAAGGAAAGUUCAAAGAACAUAAAAGAAAAAAAUUAAAUUACUUGAAAUGAAAAAAUAUGAUGACCAAUUGUAGAAUUUAACCUAAAUUUUUUGUUUAAAAUGAUUAUUUAACAUGCCACGUCAGCUUACUAUUACACCGUUAAUGGCAAUUAACGGCUCAAUGACUAAAAUGCUACAACACGAUAACGUAAAUGACUAAAAUGUAACGUUUUAAAUAUAAAUGACUAAAAUGUAACUUGAAACAAUCAGAAGUGAAUAUUUUAACAGUUUAUCAUUUUAAUAAUAACAGUAAACACUAUCAAUAUUUUUAAAAACACUUUUUUUUUUCACACAACUUUACAAUAUUAAUGGUAAACUAGCAGUGAAAGAGUAAAGUAUAAGAGCCCAAAAGGCCCAAAGCAAAAUGUCCCCUCAUUGAAACGUUAGACGUUAAGCUACAGCAGUAUUGGGAAUGGAGAAAUACAGAGCUGGGCUACAAAAGUAUGAAGGCCCAGGUUGGCUAUAAAUGAAAAUAUGACCGUCUUCUAAAACAGAAUUUUUCCUAUCAACUCCACGUCUCUUUCCAUCGACUUAAAUACCAGAAUAACAAUUACGAGCUUUAUAAUUCAUUGUUUACAUCCUUGCAGGGCUAAGUCUCCAGAUAACCAAUAACACCUCCCACUCCUAAAAGCUGUCAUUCUCCUCCAUGCAUUUUCUUAAAAAAGUUAACAGGAGAGUGAUUUGGCAAAAGAGGUGAGCUUGUGAAUGGUGUGGGAAGUAUGUAAUGACCAUACCACACUUUAUUAUUUGCACAAGCAAAUCAAAGUUAAGCUUUACAUCAUAAUAAUGACAUGAGGACUUUGGAAUGGAAGAAACAAGACGGUGAAUACUAACCAAAAAUCUAUCAUCUCCCAUUUACGAUACCAUUUAAUUUCUUUUAUAAAAACAAUGAUUCUGAGACAUAAUUGUUGACUUGAAUGGAAUGUCUCGCAACUCUUUUUUUGUUCCUAUCAGUUUCUGGCAAAGCAUGGGAUCAUAGUAUCCAUAUAAUUACAAUAUAUUUAUAGGAUACUACUUCUAGAGCUUACCUUGUCUUGUAAGAAACAAGACAAGAGUGAAUAUGUUUCUGUUUCUGAUCCCGUGAAGGAAAAAUGCAAGUUUUACUCAAAUCCGCUGCUCUUAAUCUUAAAUUAUUUCUUUCCGAACAAUCUGAGUCUUGAAUGUAAAAUCUGAAAGGAAUCAAUUAUUAUGAUGUCCUACAACUCACAUGCACAGUUUGGCAAAAUAACAUUGAAAAACAUCUGAUCUAAGACUUUUGGCAAAUGAUUAAAUUAGUUAAUUUAUUUUAAAAGUAUUACAACUUUCAUUUUCGAGUUUGACAACAAUUUUUGUCAUGGCAUGAGAGUACUGAGAGUGAGGCCACGUGAAAUAAUCCUCUUGUGGCCGUUUUAAAGGUCUCGUGAACCAACAGGGACCCCUGUUCAUCCCAAAAUGAAUAAAAUAUUUUGGUUUAACUUAUCACAUUUUUAAUCUUAAUAUCCCAAUUAUGAUCUCCUUUAUUUUAUUUUUAAAUAAAGAAGAAAAUAGAAGUAGAGGGGGAGCUAUUUAUAAACACCAUAUCCUUGAAAUAAUUGUUAUCGACAAACUUCCUAGAAAAUAAAAAGAGACUUGAAAAAUGUGUUGGUUUUCCCUUAUAAUAAUAUUGUCGAGUUCCAUAGUUAUAGAUUUGUCAGAGGGUAGCCAUGCCCAUCAUCAUCAUCAUCGGAAGAAAUCUGCAGUUGUUGUUGGAAGUGUGUACUGUGAUACUACAUGUUCCCAAGAGGAGUUCUCUAGGACCAGCCAUUCCAUUUCAGGUUUAAUUCCAUUGCCAAACUUGUAUAAGGCUUCCAUCUCCAUCAGUUAGUCUGAAUUGGGGUGGUUUUGUGUGCAGGUGCAUCAGUUGCAGUGGAAUGUAAAGAAGGGACUUCAAGGCCAGGUUUCGUGCAGGAAGUGAAAACCAAUGAGCAUGGUGAAUUCGAACUUCGAUUGCCUUUCUCAGUUAGUAGAAGGGUGAAGAAAAUCAAUGGAUGUUCAGUGAAAUUGAUUAAAAGCAGUGAACCAGAUUGUAAUGUGGUGGCCUCAAUACCAGCUUCGUCUGCACUCCGUCUGGUGUCGGGGAAGCAUGGAACUCGUGUGUUUUCAGCUGGGACUUUCAGCUUCAAGCCUCUAAAACAACCAAACCUGUGUAGAACAAAACCAAAAGAAGCAAAUGGAGAAAAGGCUGUCCUUGGCCACCCUGAAUCAUUCUUUUUCCCUCCUCCCCUGUUUCCUCCGAACCCCUUUCAGCCUCCUCCGUUGCUUCCUCCCAUACUGCCACCACCAGCUCCACUUAUUCCAAACCCAUUUCAGCCUCCUCCAGCUCCACUUAUUCCAAACCCCUUUCAGCCUCCUCCAGCUCCUCUUAUUCCAAACCCUUUUCAGCCUCCUCCAGCCCCACCGGCUCCACUUAUUCCAAACCCUUUUCAGCCUCCUCCCGCACCACCGGCUCCACUUAUUCCAAACCCUUUCCAGCCUCCUCCCGCACCUCCAGCUCCAUUUAUCCCAAACCCCUUCCAGCCUCCUUCGGCACCUCCAGCACCUCCAGCACCAUGGUUUCAUCUUCCACCGAUUCCAGGACUAACUCCACCACCAUCGCCACCACCUCCACCUCCACCAACCUUCCCGUUUCCUCUUCCCCCAUUCCAUUUCCCACCUAUACCGCCUUUCCCUGGUAUCCCCCCUGCCUCUGC